AAAAAUUUCCAAUAGCCUUUCAUGGCCAGGUGCUCCGGAAAUUUCUGGACCCGCGCGCCGUGAUAUGUGGCACCACAUUUUGUGAACCGUUCUGUCUUUGGUGGUGGGGUGAAACGCCUUCUUCGGCCUUCGCCUGUCAGCUCCGACUCUCACAAGUCCGAGCCGUGGACAAGCCACCGACCAUGUGUUUAAACCUAUGUUUGUUUUGUUUUUGUCUGACAUUUUUUACUUUGUAUUUUAAUAUACAAA
rnacentral:misc_RNA from 1 species